UACGGGGGGGGCAAGCGUUGUUCGGAAUUACUGGGCGUAAAGGGCGCGUAGGCGGUUUGUUAAGUUGGAUGUGAAAACUCUGGGCUUAACCCAGAGCCUGCAUCCAAAACUAGCAGGCUAGAGUUCUGGAGGGGAUAGCGGAAUUCCUGGUGUAGCGGUGAAAUGCGUAGAUAUCAGGAGGAACACCGGUGGCGAAGGCGGGUCUCUGGGCAACAACUGACGCUGAGGAGCGAAAGCGUGGGGAGCGAACAGG
rnacentral:rRNA from 1 species